rnacentral:rRNA from 1 species
UACAGAGGUCUCAAGCGUUGUUCGGAUUCAUUGGGCGUAAAGGGUGCGUAGGUGGCGCCGUAAGUCGGGUGUGAAAUUUCGGAGCUUAACUCCGAAACUGCAUUCGAUACUGCGGUGCUUGAGGACUGGAGAGGAGACUGGAAUUCAUGGUGUAGCAGUGAAAUGCGUAGAGAUCAUGAGGAAGACCAGUGGCGAAGGCGGGUCUCUGGACCGAUACUGACGCUGAGGAGCGAAAGCGUGGGGAGCGAACAGG